rnacentral:rRNA from 1 species
UACAACCAAAACUUCUUGUCAAAGCCUGAUCUCAGACGCUAAGAAAGACUGGGCUUGGUUAGUACUUGGAUGGGAGACUGCUGGAAUACCAGGUGGCAUAGUGG